CUCUCAUGAAUGGGAUUAGUAUCCUUAUGAAACAGUCUGUCUUAUUCCUUCUGCGAUGUGAGGACACAGCAAGAGGAGAGCCAUCAGUAAAUUAGGAAGUGAGCUGUCACCAGAUACCAAAUCUGCUAGUGCCUCAGUCUUGAACUUUCCAACCUUCAGAACUGUCCUUGUAUCAUUGGGCAGCACUGUAUGGAGAUUCACAGCCAAACAAAAUUGUAUUUAUCAUUGAUACCCUGCACAUUAUCAAGGAUGAUAUGUCAAGAGAAACUAAUUGUCAUGUAACACUGAAGGAUAGUAAGUGACGUUAUUGCUGUGAUCCAUCACCAGUACUUGGAAAACAUCCUCACUGUGCUUGGCAUCAGAAAUCUGCGAUGGGUUCUUUUGCCACCACUCCACGUUAUCUCCUACUCAGCUUGCUUCAGCGUGUGCCUGUAAGGGUGAAGCUUUCCAAAUUAGAAGGAAGAACAUUUUUUUAAAAUUACACAGGAGAGGAGUUGACCAAGAUGGUGACGUAGGAGGCUUCUGAGUUCCCCUCCUUCCACGGAUACACCGAAUGGACAGCUACACAUGGAGCAAUUCUCUCUGAAAGGAAUCCAGAAAUGAGCUGAACCAUUCCUGUACAUCAAACAUAUGAGAAAACACUCACCUCAAGACUGUAGGAAAGGCUGAAACACACUCUCACCAAAAACCCCACUCCCGGCACAGCAACAUACAAUUGGGAGGAAAUUCAUGAUUAUCAAUUUCUCCCUGAGGAGUAAAUGGUUUAGACUUCACAUCAAGAGCUCUAACUUUUCAGACUGCCACCUGAGGGACAGGUUCC
rnacentral:lncRNA from 1 species